rfam:Ovis aries breed Texel chromosome 9, whole genome shotgun sequence.
GUCUACCGCCAUACCACUCUGAAUACGCCUGAUCUCAUCUGAUCUCAGAAACUGAGCAGGGUCGGGCCUGGUUAGUACUUGGAUGGGAGACUCUAGAAACUGGAUCUGAUCUUUU